rnacentral:rRNA from 1 species
UAGCAAUACGAGAGUGGCAGACGGGUGAGUAACACGUGGGAACCUUCCCUAUGGUUCGGAAUAGCUCAGGGAAACUUGGGGUAAUACCGGAUAAGCCCUUCGGGGGAAAGAUUUAUCGCCAUUGGAUGGGCCCGCGUCGGAUUAGCUAGUUGGUGAGGUAACGGCUCACCAAGGCAACGAUCCGUAGCUGGUCUGAGAGGAUGAUCAGCCACACUGGGACUGAGACACGGCCCAGACUCCUACGGGAGGCAGCAGUGGGGAAUAUUGGACAAUGGGCGCAAGCCUGAUCCAGCCAUGCCGCGUGAGUGACGAAGGUCUUCGGA